rnacentral:rRNA from 1 species
GACGAACGCUGGCGGCGUGCUUAACACAUGCAAGUCGAACGGAAAGGCCCUGCUUUUGUGGGGUGCUCGAGUGGCGAACGGGUGAGUAACACGUGAGUAACCUGCCCUUGACUUUGGGAUAACUUCAGGAAACUGGGGCUAAUACCGGAUAGGAGCUCCUGCUGCAUGGUGGGGGUUGGAAAGUUUCGGCGGUUGGGGAUGGACUCGCGGCUUAUCAGCUUGUUGGUGGGGUAGUGGCUUACCAAGGCUUUGACGGGUAGCCGGCCUGAGAGGGUGACCGGCCACAUUGGGACUGAGAUACGGCCCAGAUUCCUACGGGAGGCAGCAGUGGGGAAUAUUGCACAAUGGACGGAAGCCUGAUGCAGCAACGCCGCGUGCGGGAUGACGGCCUUCGGGUUGUAAACCGCUUUCGCCUGUGACGAAGCGUGAGUGACGGUAAUGGGUAAAGAAGCACCGGCUAACUACGUG